GGGAAAACUCGAAAUUCUGUGAAAACACUCCACACAAUUUCUCGUUUUCCCAAUUUCCACUCGUGUUGAUAUAACUGCAUAUCAACACGGAAAAUGUUUCAUAUUUGUUAAGUAUAAAAGAGUUAAGUGUCUAUAGUUAUAAAAAUUAAAAGACAGUUCACUUUUUCGGUUGUGAUCACUCAAUUCCACUAUUUUCUCAUUUCAGCAACGAAAUCUUGGUUUCUCAAACGUAGUACAGAGUAGUCUGCCGCCAAAGCUUGCUACCACCGGGGCAAAGUCGCCCAAGGAUUGGUACGAUGUACAAAUACAAAUGUUGAUCAAUCUCGGCUUGGAUUUCAACGACAUGCGAGGAUAUUUUCAAAAUUCUACAACGACGAAAACAUGCAUCAUUCCCGCUUGUUAGAGAUGAAACGUGCCACACUAUUUUGGAAUAAUUGAAUAAAAAAUGAUGAAUUUCAUAUAGAUGUAGAAGCUAAAAUAGCGACACUGUAGUUAGAUAAGUUUAGUGUUUUUUCUUGCGAAAUAAUAUAAAGUAGAUGCUAUGCAUCAAAUAAGUAAUUUGGAAAUAGUUUAGUUGUUUGGU